rnacentral:rRNA from 1 species
GCAUGGCUGUCGUCAGCUCGUGUCGUGAGAUGUUGGGUUAAGUCCGCAACGAGCGCAACCCCUAUCUCUAGUUGCCAGCGAUUCGGUCGGGGACUCUAGAGAUACUGGCCCCGGUUAACGGGGAGGAAGGUGGGGAUGACGUCAAGUCCUCAUGGCCCUUAUGCCCAGGGUUACACACGUGCUACAAUGGGCGGUACAAAGGGUAGCGAUGCCGCGAGGUGAAGCCAAUCCCAAAAAGCCGUCCACAGUUCGGAUUGGAGUCUGCAACUCGACUCCAUGAAGCCGGAAUCGCUAGUAAUCGUGGAUCAGCAUGCCACGGUGAAUACGUUCCCGGGCCUU